rnacentral:misc_RNA from 1 species
AACCUUAUGGACCUGCGGGCGUAUACCUGCGGAAGGAUCAUUACCAGUACCACCGUCGCCUCCGGGCGUCGGUCUACUACCAACCCUUUGUCAUCCGACCUCGUUGCCUCCGGGUGCGACCCUGACCUUCGGGUCUCGCGUCUCCCCGGGUGGACACACAUCAAAACUCUGCAUAACUUUGUUGUCUGAGUAAAACUUUUAAUUAAAUUAAAACUUUUAACAACGGAUCUCAGAUCGGAA